rnacentral:rRNA from 1 species
CCUACGGGUGGCAGCAGUGGGGGAUAUUGCACAAUGGGGGGAACCCUGAUGCAGCGACGCCGCGUGGGUGAAGAAGCGCCUCGGCGUGUAAAGCCCUGUCAGCAGGGAAGAAAAUGACGGUACCUGAAGACGAAGCCCCGGCUAACUACGGGCCAGCAGCCGCGGUAAUACUGAGGGGGCAAGCGUUAUCCGGAUUUACUGGGGGUAAAGGGGGCGCAGACGGCGAUUCAAGCCAGGAGUGAAAACCCGGGGCUCAACCCCGGGACUGCCUUUGGCACUGCGUGGCUGGAGUGCAGGAGGGGCAGGCGGAAUUCGUGGUGUAGCGGUGAAAUGCGUAGAUAUCAGGAGGAACACCGGUGGCGAAGGCGGCCUGCUGGACUGCAACUGACGUUGAGGCCCGAAAGCGUGGGGAGCGAACAGGAUUAGAUACCCCGGUAGUC